rnacentral:rRNA from 1 species
UACGUAGGGUGCGAGCGUUAAUCGGAAUUACUGGGCGUAAAGCGUGCGUAGGCGGUUCGUUAAGUUCGUUGUGAAAGCCCCGGGCUCAACCUGGGAACUGCAAUGGAAACUGGCGGGCUUGAGUGUGGCAGAGGGGGGUGGAAUUCCGCGUGUAGCAGUGAAAUGCGUAGAGAUGCGGAGGAACACCGAUGGCUAAGGCAGCCCCCUGGGCCAAUACUGACGCUCAGGCACGAAAGCGUGGGGAGCAAACAGG